rnacentral:rRNA from 1 species
GCAGUCGAACGAGAACGGAUUAUAGCUUGCUAUAAUUGUCAGCUAAGUGGCGCACGGGUGAGUAAUGUAUAGGUAAUAUGCCUCUUACUAAGGGAUAACAAAUGGAAACGUUUGCUAAUACCUUAUACUCCUUAUUAACAGAAGUCAAUAAGGGAAAGAUUUAUUGGUAAGAGAUUAGCCUGUAUUGUAUCAGUUAGUUGGUGGGGUAAUGGCUUACCAAGACUAUGACACAUAACUGGUUUGAGAGGAUGAUCAGUCACACUGGAACUGAGACACGGUCCAGACUCCUACGGGAGGCAGCAGUGGGGAAUAUUGCACAAUGGACGAAAGUCUGAUGCAGCAACGCCGCGUGGAGGAUGACACAUUUCGGUGCGUAAACUCCUUUUAUAUGAGAAGAUAAUGACGGUAUUAUAUGGAUAAGCACCGGCUAACUCCGUGCCAGCAGCCGCGGUAAUACGGGGGGUGCAAGCGUUACUCGGAAUCACUGGGCGUAAAGAGCAUGUAGGCGGAUUAAUAAGUUUGAAGUGAAAUCCUAUAGCUUAACUAUAGAACUGCUUUGAAAACUGUUAAUCUAGAAUGUGGGAGAGGUAGAUGGAAUUUCUGGUGUAGGGGUAAAAUCCGUAGAGAUCAGAAGGAAUACCGAUUGCGAAGGCGAUCUACUGGAACAUUAUUGACGCUGAGAUGCGAAAGCGU